rnacentral:piRNA from 1 species
UUAAGAUGGGAAAGGCUCUCAGG